UCCACCCACGCGGGAGAGACCGCCGGUUCAGCCCGAAUCGCCGUUUAGUUUGAUCGUCGCCGUUCAGUCUGAUCGUCGUCGUUCAGCCUGAUCGUCGUCGAGCAGACCGGUGGCGCCGAAGGGGCAAAUCCUCCCCGGAACCUCUCAGGCAAAAGGACCGCGGGGGAAGG
rnacentral:ncRNA from 2 species